UUAUGGCUCAGGAUGAACGCUGGCGGCGUGCUUAACACAUGCAAGUCGAACGAAGCUCCUUGAACCAAGGAUUCGCCAAGGCGAUGGGAAGACUAGUGGCGGACGGGUGAGUAACGCGUGGGUAACCUGCCGUAUGACAGGGGGACAACAGUUGGAAACGACUGCUAAUACCGCAUAAGCGCACGGUAUUGCAUGGUACAGUGUGAAAAGAUUUAUCGGGCAUACGAUGGACCCGCGUCUGAUUAGCUGGUUGGUGAGGUAACGGCCCACCAAGGCGACGAUCAGUAGCCGGCCUGAGAGGGUGAACGGCCACAUUGGGACUGAGACACGGCCCAAACUCCUACGGGAGGCAGCAGUGGGGAAUAUUGCACAAUGGGGGAAACCCUGAUGCAAGCGACGCCGCGUGAGUGAAGAAGUAUCUCGGUAUGUAAAGCUCUAUCAGCAGGGAAGAAAAUGACGGUACCUGACUAAGAAGCCCCGGCUAACUACGUGCCAGCAGCCGC
rnacentral:rRNA from 1 species